AUCGGACUCGGAGCUGAGCAGUGUAGCAGGGGUGGAGGGAAACGAGGACCUGAAGUGCCAGCAGCAGCCACCCGUGCACAGUGACUGGGGUGCUGCUCACUGUAUCACUGGUAACUGUAUUGCCCUGUGUAACCUCCUUUGCAUGGCCAGCGGUGAUCUGCAGGUGAAGGUGCAAUGGGGGUAACCUCACCCAGAAGUUAGUAUCCACCAGUUUACUCACAACACCAGGGUGAUGGCUGUGACCUGGCUAUUACUUGUUGCAGAGAGAUCUUCAAGAGACACAGGACAGGAGCUGGUCCAAUGGUCAGAGAAUGCAACAGACAGGAACAGAUGACAGCGGAGCACUGAGCAGGCUGUGGAUAAGCUUGGGAGUUUCUGUAAGAGAAGGAAGAUCCACUGGAGCUGCUUUCUCAGCGUCAAGAAAUUCGCUCUGAGAGUUCGAUAAACAAAGGUGGAGAAAAGUAGACCCAGUGGAGUUGAUACCGAGAUUGAAGGAACUGGGAUUAUAUUGAGAAAGAGAUUUAUACGCCCGUAUUGGAUUCGGGAUAUAUAAGGGGAAGACGCCGACCUGACUAACGAGGACUAGACUGCAAAGAGACCAGCUGUAAUUACUCAACAUAUGUGAGAACUGGAUUGCUCCAUAAAAUAUAUGUGGGACUUGUAGUGCUAUGAGACUUGUGGAUGGUUACUAAUGGAAGCGCAUAGAAAGACUUUCUUUUUUAUUUUAUUGUGUAUCCAAUUUUUCUAUUGCUGCUUUAUAGUUGUCACAAUGUCUAAGUUUGCUGAUUUAAGAUCAAAGCGAUCCCAGCACUGUUCAAAAUUUUUAAUGAUGAUAGAGAAUGAGAUAAGGUCAGAUUAUGUAUAUUAUAAACCACUGAAGAUAAUUAUGUGAAGGCAGAACGUCUUUUUAUUAAAGAAACAAGAAUCUGGUGGGAUACUAAAGGACUUGAAAAUUAUAUAAAGUGCAGCAGAGUCCCAAGAGGACUAAGGAUAAUAAAAAAAAUCCCACGUUUGGUAAUUCUGAUGAGAAAUUUCAGAAAGAAUGGAAUAGGAUUUUAGACGAAUGCUCUCUAGAUCUAAUGCGGUUAAUUGUUUUUGAAAAAAAAAAUGCUUAAAGAGAGAAAAAGAAAUGUGCAAGGUAGAAAAAGUAUUAGAAACAUCUAAAAAUACCAAAUGCAGUAGUACAUUUAUUGAAUAUAUGGAGGAGGUAGUGUCUAACGUAGAAAAAGAAAUUCUAGAACUAAAAAUAAAACAAUUCAGCUGCUGCGAGAAAGAAGAUUCUGAAAAAGGGCAGGUAAGGAAUUGGCCUAAAGCCCAGACAGAAAUUAGAACUGAAGGUACCUUUAAAGACUAAAACCCCUUAAGGGGUAAGCGGAAUCCGUCAGCUAACUGGCUGAAUAAUCUGGGUGAGGUUAGAAGUAGAAGUGAAAAGUCAAGUUUUAAAUGACAAAAAGUCCAGAGAGAUAAAGCGGG